AGUGAACGCUGGCGGUAGGCCUAACACAUGCAAGUCGAACGGCAGCACAGUAAGAGCUUGCUCUUACGGGUGGCGAGUGGCGGACGGGUGGGGAAUACAUCGGAAUCUACUUUUUCGUGGGGGAUAACGUAGGGAAACUUACGCUAAUACCGCAUACGACCUACGGGUGAAAGCAGGGGAUCUUCGGACCUUGCGCGAUUGAAUGAGCCGAUGUCGGAUUAGCUAGUUGGCGGGGUAAAGGCCCACCAAGGCGACGAUCCGUAGCUGGUCUGAGAGGAUGAUCAGCCACACUGGAACUGAGACACGGUCCAGACUCCUACGGGAGGCAGCAGUGGGGAAUAUUGGACAAUGGGCGCAAGCAUGAUCCAGCCAUACCGCGUGGGUGAAGAAGGCCUUCGGGUUGUAAAGCCCUUUUGUUGGGAAAGAAAAGCAGCAGGUUAAUACCCCGCUGUUCUGACGGUACCCAAAGAAUAAGCACCGGCUAACUUCGUG
rnacentral:rRNA from 1 species